rnacentral:lncRNA from 1 species
UCACCACCGGUGGUUUGUAUACUGGUACCGGCGGAGGACACGGCUUCUUCGGGAUCACUACCGGUGGAAUGUAGAUUGGUGGAUGCUCUAUCUUCGGCGGCGGCUUGUAAACCGGAACUGGAGGUGGGUGCUCUAUCUUCGGCGGUGGAAUGACUAUCUUUGGCGGCGGCUUGUGGACUGGAACCGGCGGUGGAUCAACUUUCUUCGGCGGUUUAGGCGGACAAGGCUUCUUCGUUGGUGGUUUGUAGACUGGCACCGGCGGUGGAAGCUCCACCUUCGGCGGCUUAGGCGGACAUGGCUUCUUCGGUGGCUUGUGUACCGGAACUGGAGGUGGGUGCUCUAUCUUUGGCGGUGGCUUGUAAACCGGAACCGAAGGUGGGUGCUCUAUCUUUGGCGGUGGCUUGUAAACCGGAACCGAAGGUGGGUGCUCUAUCUUUGGCGGUGGCUUGUAAACCGGAACUGGAGGUGGGUGCUCUAUCUUUGGCGGUGGCUUGUAAACCGGAACCGGAGGUGGGUGCUCUAUCUUCGGCGGUUUAGGUGGACAAGGCUUCUUAGGAAUAGGCGGUGGAAGCUCCACCUUUGGUGAUGGCUCGUAAAUCGGGACAGGUGGGGGAACCUCUUUCUUUGGCGGUGGAUCGUAAACCGGAACCGGAG